GGGCGUAAAGAGCUCGUAGGUGGUUUGUCGCGUUGUUCGUGAAAUCUCACGGCUUAACUGUGAGCGUGCGGGCGAUACGGGCAGACUUGAGUACUGCAGGGGAGACUGGAAUUCCUGGUGUAGCGGUGGAAUGCGCAGAUAUCAGGAGGAACACCGGUGGCGAAGGCGGGUCUCUGGGCAGUAACUGACGCUGAGGAGCGAAAGCGUGGGGAGCGAACAGGAUUAGAUACCCUGGUAGUCCACGCCGUAAACGGUGGGUACUAGGUGUGGGUUUCCUUCCUUGGGAUCCGUGCCGUAGCUAACGCAUUAAGUACCCCGCCUGGGGAGUACGGCCGCAAGGCUAAAACUCAAAGAAAUUGACGGGGGCCCGCACAAGCGGCGGAGCAUGUGGAUUAAUUCGAUGCAACGCGAAGAACCUUACCUGGGUUUGACAUGCACAGGACGCCGGCAGAGAUGUCGGUUCCCUUGUGGCCUGUGUGCAGGUGGUGCAUGGCUGUCGUCAGCUCGUGUCGUGAGAUGUUGGGUUAAGUCCCGCAACGAGCGCAACCCUUGUCUCAUGUUGCCAGCGGGUAAUGCCGGGGACUCGUGAGAGACUGCCGGGGUCAACUCGGAGGAAGGUGGGGAUGACGUCAAGUCAUCAUGCCCCUUAUGUCCAGGGCUUCACACAUGCUACAAUGGCCGGUACAAAGGGCUGCGAUGCCGCGAGGUUAAGCGAAUCCUUUUAAAGCCGGUCUCAGUUCGGAUCGGGGUCUGCAACUCGACCCCGUGA
rnacentral:rRNA from 1 species